rnacentral:lncRNA from 1 species
GUUGAGGGUCUCCAGGCCUGGAGUUGGCUGGCAGGAGUUGAGCAGGAAGCAGGUGGGCACGCAGGGCUGAGGAAUGUGGCAGGGUGGGGGACAGUUGUCACAGCAGGUGGGCUCCAGUAACCAAACUGUGUGUGGGCAGGUGCUGGGCAGGCAGACUCCACAGCGGCAGGAUUUGUCGGAGGAGCAGAUGGUGGUGGCAGGGCCGGUGGGGACGCUGCAGGAGCGGAGAGCACAGCAAUACAUGGCAAUGGGAGGUGGGUUUUUG